rnacentral:misc_RNA from 1 species
CUGGCUCGGCAAAAUAAAUUACCGAAGGACUUUUCUUUAGAUAAUUUCAGUUGCAGUGUGGUUACAUUUGUUGAUGACUUUGGUAAAUUUGAGCCCAAAUGAGGGAAGCUGCUUUCUUUGACCUGCUCACAACAUUUCUUAGGAAUUUUCGAUUCAGAAGUUCCAAAAAACUUGUGGGCUGCAUUUCCUUGUCAGAUGGACUUUGGCUUACCUUACCGGUGGCUUUCUGUCAAGGUAUAAGAAGCUAAGUAUAAAUCAGUUACUUAUUUCUGGAGCAGUAGCUGGCUUUGUUGUAAUAUACUCGGUUAAAUACCAGUUUAAUAGCAAAUAGAACGGAUGAAGUUGUAUUGUUCAGGAAUACAUUGAAUUUAAUAUGGGUUGUAAUUUUUGCAAUAUGGCAAGAGGACAUUAUCAUAUGAUAUUAAAAAUCUCCUGAAACUUUUCCAGAAAUAAGUAACUGAUUUAUAC